rnacentral:lncRNA from 1 species
AGAACCUAUGCCGCCUCCAGCACUCCCCAACCCUGUCUGCUGGCUUCCCAUGGUAGGCUCCAUCACCUGACUGCCUGGGUACAGAGGACUGAAAUGUAAAGCUUUUCCUGAAGCUGUUCACUGUUUGGCCCACAUAGACCUAACUGAUUUGGUCUCCUAUGGAUUUCCUGGUUCUCACUAUGUAACCACAGUGAGCUUCUGCCUCAGCUCGUUAGGCCUAAAGAAGAGCCUGAGACAAGGGCUUGGGAGGUGCCCCCAGGAUAUAGGGGUGAGGGACCAGGAGUGAGGGUAAGACAGGGAGGGAGGAAAAGCCAAUAUGUGCUAUACUUAAUUAGUUCCUGCUCUGGGCAACCGUGGAUCCCCAUGAGGCCCCUUCUGAAUUGUCCUGUAGGAGCCUGGGACAUUUAUCCACUGGUCUUCUCCCUCACUAGCUGACGUUCCACUUUGAAAAUAUUUCUGGCUCAGAUCUGAGUGGGCUUCCCAUACUCUUGAGAAAGCCCUAAGGCAGAGAAGUGGAGAGCCUUAGAGGCACAUGCUUGCAGGAGAACCUGACCACUGCAUCAGCUCUGAAAUCAGAGAUGAUAUGAACACAAAAAUGUCAGCAGAAGCCGUUUUACUCAGCAAGCUGCUUCCUCGCCAGGCUUUGUGCAUGAACUAUGCCACGGACCACAUUGAAGGUCUAGGAUCAUGUUGCCUUUUCAGAGAGGUCUUUCUUGACCUCCUAUUUGAAGGUGCCUACCUGUGGUUACUCCAUCCCAAGCAAUUUCAUUCCUGUGACCCUUUUCUAGCAUCCUAGCUAGUGAUGCUUAAAAUCUACCAGCCCACAUAUGUAUCUAGGUCUUGGGAUAGGUUUAAACAAGACACACACCAGACUUGGGCUGGGGUCAUUAUGUAAAAAGAGGAACCGGGUGCGGUGGCUCAUUCUUGUAAUCCCAGCACUUUGGGAGGCCAAGGUGGGUGGAUCACCUGAGGUCAGGAGUUCAAGACUAGCCUGGCCAACAUGGUGAAACCCUGUCUCUACUAAAAAUCCAAAAAAAAUUAGCCAGAUGUGGUGGCGGGCCCCUGUAAUCCCAGGUACGCCGGAGGCUGAGGCAGGAGAAUUGCUUGAACCUGGGAGGCAGAGGUUGCAGUGAGCCGAGAUUGCACCAUUGCACUCCAGCCUGGGUGACAGAGCGAAACUCCAUCUCAAAAAAAAAAAAAAAAAAGAAAAGAAAAAAGAGGUAUAAGAUGCCAAUGCCAGUCCAGUUAGCAGGUGUAAAAGGAGUGCUAAAGCUUUGGUUGAUUAUCAGAUGUUAGAGUAGAAGACGUCAAGAGGUGAGGGGAGCAAAUCAUGAGACGACCAGACAGCUCAGUGUUAUUUGCAGACAAUGUUGGGCUGAUAGGAAGCUCUCUUGGGAAUGGAAAAGAUGCAUCUUCUGGUCCCGGUUUAGGCCUAUGUAACAGCGCUUCUCUGUAUGGGGUUUUGCUCCCUCAGUGUGGCCAUGGAAGGAUAGGAGAAGUGACCACUUCCUUACACACCUCAAUGAAGAUAUAUGUCCAUCUGCUUGCAGUUUGUUUCCAAACUCUGAAGGCAGCGAGAUUCUCGGACCUGGAAAUAGGCUCUUCUGAGUCUUGCUGCAAAGAAAAAUGGCUUCUGUAGACACUUCGUAUGCAGCUUUCAGUGGCCCCUGGGAUUUGGGAGACUCCAGACUGGAGAACAGCAGGGUAUGCCUUCUGUGGACUAGUUUCCAAGCUGCUAGUGAGAGAGCCUUUUCUCCAUCAGGCCAGCUCAGCAAGACCUACUCGGCUGAAUACAGUGUGAGUCACUCUCCAGACUGUGGUCAGGAGCUGAGGCUGCAGGUUUCCCUUUACAGUGACCUCAUAAUCCCUGUCUCAAUUCCCCCAUGCUGCAGAAAAAAAAAAAUCUCCAUUCUUCAGGAGAAGUCUGCAGAAUGAUGUGCCUGGCUUGUAGGCAGAGAAGACAUUAGGUUGCUUGUCCUUUCAUCCUGUAGGUUUGUUUCUCCUUCAAGCAGAAUUGCAACAUGAAAUGAUCUCUCUUCUCAGCUUUUUUUCUUGCUGCGGUCAGGUUCUGCAGUUUCUGAUGGUGGAAUUUCCAUGAUAGAAGGAAAAUGGGAUUUACUCCUUAUCAUUACUGUAGGCAUCCAGACUGUGUGGGCUGACUUUUUGCACCAUUAACAGUGUAUUGAUUACGCUCAUAGCCAUCUUCACAGCUCCAAGAUAAUGGGGUUCUAAAUGAAAGCGCUCCAUUUUAAUCCUAAUUGUAUUAAGUGGUGCACGUCCUCAAUGAUGUAGUUUUAAAAUUAACUAACCUCUCUGUGUCACAGUUUCCUUCUUUGUAUAAUGGAGAUUAUAAUACUACUUGCCUGAUAUGAUUUUUGUGAGGAUUAAGUGAGUUUUUACAUGAGAAACACUUAUAAAAGUGCUGGCAUAUGCCAGAAACUGUGAUAAGUGUUUGAUGUUAUUAUUUUUAGCAUCAGCAUGCAUUUAAAGAUGGUGAAUCUGAGGAAAAGAAGUCACAUAUCUUUUUAAAAGUGGUAAUCUGUAAGCAAUUUCAUGUUUUUAAUAUUCUUCUAUAGUACGUUUUUGCAGAAGGACUUGCAAUGGUUUAUGGAUUAAAGAGAAAGCAGUGUUCAAUCAUUGGGAAGAAAAAGAGAACAGAGACCAGUGGAAGAAACUAGAACAAAUUAUGCCAUAGACAUAAAUGUGAUGAUUGGAAUAAGUGGCCAAUGAGUUCGUCCUUACUUACCCUGCAGCUAAAGAAGCUGGUUGACACAUAUUUCAUUUCCUGAUUACAGCAUCAAAUACAUUCAUUUUCAGAAAUAAAUUCUUUGGGGGCUUGGUGGGGCAGAUGCCGUAGGAAUCUACCACGUGGUUCCCUUAAGUAUAAAUGACUUUGAAUACAUUUUAUUGUAUCUCCUUGUUUAGCUUUACUAUGAAGAGCUGUUAAAGAUGUGAACCUCUGGAAGAUCAAGGACUUUGCCUUAUGGAAUGCAAAUAACCAAAGUAGAAAUCAUGGUAUAAAUGAAAGACAAAUACAAGUGUUGGCUGCAGAGUGCUAUCUCAUACUUAGCAGGGAUGUACUUAAGUCUUACAUUUGCUUCCUUCCCUCUGUCCUCAAACUCCUCCAUAAAGCACUUGAUCUAUCUGUCUGCUCUUCCUCCUAAAUUAACUGAGAGCAUUUGUAUUAGUUCCACUUGUUAAGCAGCCAGUCAAAUGGUUAUUGAUCAUUUACUUUGUGUGAAGGAUGUCUGUAGAGAGUCAAGGGAGAUACAAUUUACUGGGCACCAAUUAUAUGCCAGACACAGACUGGGACACUUUAUAUACACCACUGCAUUUGUUGCAAUCAUAUGAAAUAGUUAUUAUUAUUUCUGAUUUACAUAUGACAAAAUUUGUAUCUCAGAGACAUUGUGUAAUGUGAGCAAAGUCACAUGGCUACUUUCAUAGCAAAACCAGGACUUCAAACCAUCCAUCAAUUGAUUCAUUCAUUGAUUUUG